UUAAAUUGAAGAGUUUGAUCAUGGCUCAGAUUGAACGCUGGCGGCAGGCCUAACACAUGCAAGUCGAACGGUAACAGGAAGCAGCUUGCUGCUUUGCUGACGAGUGGCGGACGGGUGAGUAAUGUCUGGGAAACUGCCCGAUGGAGGGGGAUAACUACUGGAAACGGUAGCUAAUACCGCAUAACGUCGCAAGACCAAAGAGGGGGACCUUAGGGCCUCUUGCCAUCGGAUGUGCCCAGAUGGGAUUAGCUAGUAGGUGGGGUAACGGCUCACCUAGGCGACGAUCCCUAGCUGGUCUGAGAGGAUGACCAGCCACACUGGAACUGAGACACGGUCCAGACUCCUACGGGAGGCAGCAGUGGGGAAUAUUGCACAAUGGGCGCAAGCCUGAUGCAGCCAUGCCGCGUGUAUGAAGAAGG
rnacentral:rRNA from 1 species